GAGCUUGGAGAGCAUAUUCCAGUGUCUGUUGAUACCAAGCCAAGUUGCUUGUAGACUUUGGAACUAGCUGUGCAGUUGAUAGUGACUGUGUCUUCUGGAGACACUGCAGUCUGAGUCAGCACAGUGUCCCCAAUGGAGUUUGCGUGGGGGAGGAGGGGAUUAAAAAUAUGGAUUCAUAGACUAUAAGGCCAGAACAUACCAUUGUGAUCAUCUAGUCUGAGCUGCAGCAUAGUACAGGCCAUAGCGCUUCCCUCAAUUAAUUCCUGUUUGAACUAGAGCGAGUUGUUUAGAAAAACAUGCCAGCUUGAUUAAGAAAUUUCCAGUAAUGGAGAAUCCAACACAACCCUUGAUAAGUUGUUCCAGUAGUUAAUUUCACUCACUCUUAAAUAUUUGCACCUUAUUCAUAGUUGAAAUUUGUCUACCUUCAACUUCCUGCUGCUGGAUCUUGAGGACUGAACCAACCUACUUGAAAUGUUAAUAAUUUUGGAAGCUACCACUUGCUCCAAGAUGGUUCCCCAGCUUGAAGCCACAACAAGUAACGUUAUGGUGGAAAGCAGUUGAACUGAACAACCAGCAUCAUCUGAAGACGUGUCAUUUCUUCAAGGGAAUGUUCAAUUGUUGGUGGAUGCUAUCCAGAAGGACAACGCAAGCUACCUAAAGGACAUGACUUGUAACUGGACCUUGUUUUUGUUCCCUCCACAAGUACUUCGGAGGAGCUGCACCCAUUACAUUUUGGGAGGACAAUAGAUGUAAUAUAUUUGUAGGUAUUGAGUAAAGUGUUGAAUCUGUUUAUGUGAA